UAGAAAAACAAAUAAUGAAUUGUUUUUUAUACCACUCCAGGUGGCGUUCUACAUAAUAUACCGUAAGCAUUACUCAAUGGACCACGAAGAAGACUUUGCAAUUAAUAACAAAUCUCAUGACAGACAAGAGCGUAUAUUUAAAUUGGACCUCGUUGGAAGUGGGCUGGACUCCAGUCUAAUGGGCGUUCCUGAUGCUCGUGAUGUAGACAAAGAAGCCACAACUAUCAGAAAAGAAUGUCCGGACUGAAAGGGCAACAGAAUUUCCAAUUAUUCAUUGAUAGUAAUAUUGUAUUAUUACUGCUAAUGUUUAUCUUAUUAAUAAAGUAACCCGUUUGUUGUGAAGAAUAUAGACAUGUAAGAUAAUAUGAUAUAACAUUUUGAGGAUUAAAACCAGGCCUAUUGAUUUUUGCUGGAUAAUGUACAUGAUAUAAACCUACAAUAUAUAAAUAUAAAAUGUAUACAUAUAUCCCAACUUGAUUUCAAUGCUUGAAAAUAAAUAUCAAAUGGAAUUGUG